CACGUCGCAGAAUGGAAUGAACGGGUAUUUUAUAUCACAACAUUUGAACACAAAAAACAAUGACUAAUUACAAAGUAUCGUUAAAGCAAGCAAGGGGGAGGAGGAGAAGGAUAGAGGUAAAGAAGGAAGAAGUGGAGGGCGAAAGGCAUUUCUCCAGAGGACCGGGUGCAGAAUACGCGAGCGUUGGAACAUUGCUUCCAUCGUGGGUGGCGGCUUGAAAGGAGGUGACCCCUCCCAAUCCCUAAGUCGGUAGCAGGAGCACCCUCCCUCCGACUUGAUCCUACAUGAUGGUGCCACAUCCUGCCAACAGUCCCUGUCCUGCAGGUGUCUGCAGGUGUAAAUGAAGAUCACCACCUGCCUCAAGACUAGCAUAUCUUCCAGAGUGGGAAGGAAGACUUCAUACCGGCUCAUACCUCUCCCUUCUAAGGAAAAUAUUCGAAGGAAGGAGACGGGACUUAACCCUCCUGCAUUGAGGGAUGAGGGAAGAAACCAUUAUUUGCCUCUAUCUUGUGAUGCAUGAUGCCACCCGACUGCUGUUGCUCGCAUGUCCUACUAACAAAAAUGUCAGCUAGAUGGAAUCACUAUUAAUGACAACGCUACCCACAGCUGGAAGCUUUUAAUUUCUGAUCAUGGUUUUUCUUCCAACGCUACCUACAGCUGGUGUAAUCUUUGUAAUCUUCCAACGCUACCUACAGCUGGUGUAAUCUUUGUAAAUUCCAUUAAAAGUUUUUAAUUUGA